UACGAAAAAAGCGAGCGUUGUUCGGAAUCACUAAACGUAAAGAGCGCAUAAACAGCCCGUCAAGUCGCGUGUGAAAGCCCCAGGCUCAACCUGGGAACGGCGCGCGAGACUAGCGGGCUGGAGUUCGGGAGAGGAGAGUGGAAUUCCCAGUGUAGAGGUGAAAUUCGUAGAUAUCUGGAGGAACACCGGUGGCGAAGGCGGCAUCCUGGACCAACACUGACGCUGAGUGAGCGAAAGCCAGGGGAGCAAACGGG
rnacentral:rRNA from 1 species